AUACACUCAUAAGGUAUUGAGAUUGUAUAAUCUUCGGAUUUAAUCAUUAUACACUCAUCUAAUCACAUGAUAAUGAGAUAAUUGAAUUUUAAUUUUUAAUCAAUCUUGUCCACCCAUGAUUGAUUACCCAAUUCACAACACAUUUGUCUCCAUCUCUUGAUUCAUAUCUAUUAGAAAACAUUUAAAUUCCCCUUUUUUUUCAUCCAAAAUUUAAAUUUUACAUACAAUUAUCAACAGAUUUCAUUUGCAAAACAUUUGUAUUUUUAUUAAUUAAUAGGACAAUCCUUUACAAAAUACUUACAAAACAUACAAAAACUACACACUAAUCCUACCUAAGAAGUUAUUUCAACCUUUCCUUCACAGGAAAAAAAAAGUUAUUUCAACAUAAACUCCAAAAAAAGAAUUAUUCCUUUAUUAAAAAAAAAAGAAGUUAUUUCAACAUAAACUUACAAAACUACCCACUCAUUUCAUCAAUCAGUCUUGUCAAAGGCAAAUUAAAACCGUCAUUCUCCAUUUUCGAAUUUCACUCAAAAUAAAAAUAUAAAUAUAUAAAACCUCAAAAACUCUAAUCCAUUCCCAAAAAACUCAAACAUUUUUCUCCUUCAACAUGGUUAAAAUUACGGAACUUUCGGAUGAAGAUGACGUCUCCAUCAUUGAUGGUGCACUAAAUCAACCACAACCAAAGAACAACGAAGAGGAGCAUGCCAUCGAAGAGGAUGUUCAUCGUUAAGGGAAGCGUCCUUUAGAGUGCGAUGAAGACGAUGGAUCAUCAUCAUCUUCAGCAAAGCGGCAAAAGGUGUUUAAUCGUCUUAAAUUUUCAAGCACCAAUUUUUUAUGUUUAUGUUUACAUUGUGCGAAAAUAGAAACAACAUGUGACAGAGAAAAAGAUUUAUUUUUGAUUUUUUGUUUUUUUUUUAACAUAACUUUGUUUAUUAAUUACAACUGCGUUAUUAGCAACAACUUAGUACCAAAAAAAAAGGGGUGAAUUGAUUAGUUUAAUCACUAUUCACUCUUCUCACACAUAUAUAUUAUU